rnacentral:rRNA from 1 species
GUGAAAUACAAAUCGGACUAGGAAAUAAGCUGGUUUUCUGCGAAUCUAUUUUAGUAGAUGAUUUAUUUAUUUUAUUAGUAGGUAUAGCACUGAAUAUCUAAUAAAAUUAGAAAGGAGUAUGAAAGUACUUACUUUGGAUAUUUAAUCUCAGAAUAACUAAUAAGUUGUAAUAAGUUAUCAGACUUCUUGCGAUAAGGUGAGGAUCCAGAAAGCAUUCCCAAAC